AGCUUUGCGCGGUGGCAGUAUCGAAGCCAAUGAGGUUUAUCCGAGGCGCGAUUAUUGCUAAUAGAAAAUAUGGAUGUCAUUCUAGGCUGUUCCAAGUGCAUCCCUUCAGCUGCUGGAUUUACGCUCCCUCACGUGUAGGUGAGGGUUUGGAAUGGGGGGUGCCUU
rnacentral:snRNA from 1 species